CGACGUUGAUAGGUCGGGUGUGUAAGCGUAGCGAUACGUUGAGCUAACCGAUACUAAUGAACCGUGAGGCUUAACCUUACAACGCCGAAGC
rnacentral:rRNA from 1 species